rnacentral:rRNA from 1 species
AUUGAACGCUGGCGGCAUGCUUUACACAUGCAAGUCGAACGGCAGCGCGGGCUUCGGCCUGGCGGCUGGUGGCGAACGGGUGAGUAAUGCAUCGGAACGUGCCCAGUAGUGGGGGAUAGCCCGGCGAAAGCCGGAUUAAUACCGCAUACGAUCUGAAGGUGAAAGCGGGGGACCGAAAGUGCUCGCGCUAUUUGAGCGGCCGAUAGUGGAUUACCUAGUUGGUGAGGUAAAGGCUUACCAAGGCGAUGAUCCGUAGCUUGCCUGAGAGGAGGACCGGCCACAUGGGGACUGUGACACGGCCGCACCGCCUACGGGAGGCAGCAGUAGGGAAUCGUCGGCAAUGGACGAAAGUCUGACCGAGCAACGCCGCGUGAGUGAAGAAGGGGGGCGGAUCGUAAAACUCGGUUGGUAGAGAAGAACGUUGGGGAGAGUGGAAAGCUCAUCAAGUGACGGGAACUACACAGAAAGGGACGGCUAACCACGUG